rnacentral:misc_RNA from 1 species
GAACGCACCUUGCGCCCCUUGGCUAUUCCGAAGGGCAUGCCUGUUUGAGUAUCAUGAACACCUCAACUCUCGUGGUUUGCCCAUGAUGAGCUUGGACUUUGGGGGUCUUGCUGGCCUGUGGUUGGCUCCUCUCAAAUGAAUCAGCUUGCCAGUGUUUGGUGGCAUCACAGGUGUGAUAACUAUCUACGCUUGUGGUUUCCCACCAGGUAACCUUCAGUGAUGGAGGUUCGCUGGGGCUCAUAAAUGUCCCUCCACAGUGAGGACAGCUUUUGAACGUUUGAUCUCAAAUCAGGUAGGACUACCCGCUGAACUUAAG